GACGAACGCUGGCGGCGUGCCUAAUACAUGCAAGUAGAACGCUGAAGGAGGAGCUUGCUUCUCUGGAUGAGUUGCGAACGGGUGAGUAACGCGUAGGUAACCUGCCUGGUAGUGGGGGAUAACUAUUGGAAACGAUAGCUAAUACCGCAUAAUAGCAGUUGUUGCAUGAUAACUGUUUGAAAGGUGCAAUUGCACCGCUACCAGAUGGACCUGCGUUGUAUUAGCUAGUUGGUGGGUAACGGCUCACCAAGGCGACGAUACAUAGCCGACCUGAGAGGGUGAUCGGCCACACUGGGACUGAGACACGGCCCAGACUCCUACGGGAGGCAGCAGUAGGGAAUCUUCGGCAAUGGACGGAAGUCUGACCGAGCAACGCCGCGUGAGUGAAGAAGGUUUUCGGAUCGUAAAGCUCUGUUGUAAGAGAAGAACGAGUGUGAGAGUGGAAAGUUCACACUGUGACGGUAUCUUACCAGAAAGGGACGGCUAACUACGU
rnacentral:rRNA from 1 species